GGGUUGGGGCGGUGGGUAGGGGUUUAGGAUCAGGAUCCAGGGAUUCGGGAGCCGGGACUGGAAGUAGAGAAGGACAGGAUUCACGGGAGGACGAGAGGCGGAGCACGACGCAGGGUGAGGGGGAAGAAACCAGACCCCUUGGCAGCUGUGUCAGUGUUUCCAGUUUGGUGUAGCAUAGCAAAGGGUGGAAAUGGUGCUGGAGCCCUUGGGAUUGUUGGCUGCCCUGACAGGGCCAACUUUUGGAGGACCCCCACCCUGGAGACCAGGAUCUCCAGACACACUGCCAAGGACAUGCGCUCAUCCUGAAGGUGGCAUCCAUUCUGUACCACAGAGGGACUGACCUGGGAGUGUCCCUCUGUCCCAUCCAGCAGGCUUCUCUGCCUGCUGCCCUCACUUUUGCAGAAGCUACAGCUACAGCAAGGACCUGGGAAAAGCUGGUAGAUAGGCCAAGGAUACAAGCAGCCUGUGCCAAAAGAGCCCAGGAACAAGGCAGUGUGUGUGUUCGGGGGUGGGGGGACAGCCCUGUGGGUUCCCUGCAACACUGAGAACUGCCAGUGACCCUGGGAUCCCUGCUGGGCUGCCCUGGAAGAACACCACAGGUUUAAGACCCAGAAGUCUCAGGGGAGUGUUCAUUCUAACUCUCACAAUGCGUAGAGGUCUCUAGUCCUCGGGCUCCAUCUCCACAUGGCUUAUACUGUGUCUGGGUCCAAAUCUCCCUGUUUAUGAGGACACCAAUCAUAACAGGGCUUGGCCUGUCAGUAUCACUUUGUCUUAGCCAGUUAUAUGAACAAUGAACUAUAUUUUGCAGUAAAGUCACAUCUGGAGGUACUGGGGGAUAGGAUAGGAAUUUAGAGGGGACAAAACUUAAUUCAUUCCCUUGGCAAGAUGCUCUUGGUGGUGGUUGGAGGCCUGAAUGAGGUCAGAAGUCAGACUGACUGGCUGCUUCUCCAGAGUAGGAGAGGCUGUGGUUGCAGCAGGCAGCAGGCUGGUCUCUGACCAAGGAGAUCAAGAGUAUCAGGAACCCUCCAGGUUGCAGGUGACUGGCAAAUGGCACUAAGUGAGGCCUGGCUGGGGUUUUGCCACCUGCCUCCAAGUGCAGGCAUGCACCACCACAGCCCGGGGCUGUGCCCUCUGCUCCUUUCUGUCCAGGCCUUCGUCAUUGGGAGCUCGCUGGGGCUAUUUCCCAUUCUUUGGGAGGAGUCAGGUAUAGUUUCUUUUGACUUUGUACACGAAUCCAGGAAGACAAGGGUUUUGUUCUGUCACCAGACAGGACCUUUCUUUGAGAAGACUGCCUUUCCUCCUACUGUGGGAAAAUUCCAUCUUCUCCACUUGGAGCAUGGGGUGAAAGUUUUUGGAGGGGCUCAGUGGGAGAGCCUGCCUGCUGUGCUUCAAGGCUUGGGUUCAAUACCCAGCACUACAAAGAAGCAAAGAGUCACUGGACAAAGCCACCCCCAGCCCCUUCCAGCAGUGGGAUCAACUUUUGAAGUGACCUGGUUUGCAUGAUUGGGGGAGGGGUACCGGGGCUUAAACCCAAGGUCUUCACCCUGAACUAUGUCCUCCUUGGCCCCCUUUUAUUUUUAUUUAUCAAAUCUAUUUUAUUCAAAGAGAAAAAAUUUUAAAUACAUCCAUCCAUCCAUCGGGGGGCAACAGUGGUACAUACAUUGGUCAUUGUCAUCCCCAAACCUGUCACCCAGAGCACAAGAUACCUGCCUUCAAUUGUCUGAACACCAGCACAAAUAUUUCUCUUCACUGAACUCAGAGAAAUCAGCAGGAUAACUAUCGUAACUAUCUGUUUUAUUUAUUUGGGGCUGGGGAUUUAGCUCAGCGGUAUAAGCGCCUGCCUUGCAAGCAGGCAGUCAUGAGUUUGAUCCCUGGUACCGAUAAAAACGAAAAAGCCAAAAAAAAAGAUAAACUUUUCAAUCCUGCCUCAGCCUCCCAGAGCACUGGGAUUUCAGGUCUGCUUGGUUUGCAUGAUUUUAAAUUACUCUUGUCCUAAGUAAGUAAAUAAAUAACUACUUUUUUGAAGACAAAUCAAAACACUUAUUUAGAAAAGUUAUCUUCUUGGGGCUGGGGAUGUAGCUCAGCAACACAGCACCUGCCUGGCAAGCAUAAGGUUGAGUUCAAUCCCCAGUACCAAAAAUAAAGAGUUACCUUCUAACAAUUAAGUCCAGUGAAUGCCACCAGCCCCAGAGUCCUGCACAAACACAAAGCUCAGAGGCUUCCCAGCACUUGACAGCUGGAGCAGGCGGACUGGUGUGAGUUCACAGCAAGUCUAGAUGACAUGGUGAGACCCAGUCUCAGAAAACAAACAAAGCCCAGAGGCUAUGAAGAAAGUUGGGCCAGCCCAGCAAGCACAGAGAGGUUCUGAGGCCAGGUGACACCUCAGGUGGUGCCUUAGCCUGGAUCUGCUGUUUUAGGACCCAACCUAAUGGCUCCCUGUGGGAAGCCGCCUAUGAAUGGCGCCCAUUUCCUGCUUCCGGGUUCUUCCCGGCCUGAACAAGCCCGCCAAAUUGUCAUAUCUGCCCAGUUACCCGUGACGCUAGCCUAUCAGCUUGUUAGGCGCGCUUCUCUGUGAUUGGAUACUGCUUCCCCUUAUAAGAGGUUGUUCCUGCCCCCAACGGGCGGAAGAGGAACCAACCUUGAGGGUGGCGGACCUUGUUAGGUCCGGUUCGCUGUACGCAAUAAAGUUUGAGAGCUGAUCCUGCUCGAGUUUGGCCUCCUGUCUUCCGCGGCUCCGGUCAUCUGGUGGCCGCCCGUAUGGGGAAAAAGGUAAAAGACUCAGCGACGUGCCUCUUCGGCCGGGAGGUGCGAUUGCUGUCACCUGUGGUACGACGGAGGACCUGGCCCAAUAACAACGGAAGGCCGCGAGCGCCUCUUCUCUUCACCCUGAUCAGCUAUGUGAGAUACAGCGGUUCCUGGGACAGGUGAGUACUGGGUCACCUGGGUUGGGUGGACGCACCUAACAGAUUUUGAGCGCCACACGAGUGGACGCUGGUUUUUUUUUUUUCUUUUCUUUUCCCUUUGCAUCUGUUUUGCUUUCGCUUCGCUAAUACAGCCUGACAGGCUUUUGAUAGAGCUCGAUCGGAAUGCUCAGAGGAGCCCGGAGCCACUGCCGAUUGUGGGUCUCCGGAGGACCCUCAGGGCUCUAAUUCUGAUUCUGAUUCGGAAGGUUCAGAAGAGGAGGUCGUCUUCGCUAAACAGGACCCUCCUGCACAGCUUAAAGAGGAAUUCAGGGCUCGGGAAGAUAAAAGGGGGAACCAAACACCCACGAUCACCCCCUUCAGGGCGCCAGGCCCCACUAAGCCCUUCCGCCCUUUGGCAAGUUCGCGAAUUCAGGGCUCGGGAAGAUAGCACCGCCGUGGCCGGAAGAGGAGUUGCUCCCUGGGCUGAGAGGGAGAGCUACUUCCUGGGUUGCCUUCUGCGCCCCCAUCUGGGGAGGGAGGAGGACGUUCCUUCCACCAGAGGGUAUGGUCGCGGCUUCCCUUUGAGUGUUCCGGUCUCCAUGCAUUCCCGGUACAAGUAGGAGGCAGGGGAGGAGGAGGAUAUUAUGAGCCCUUAGAAAUUAAACAACUUAAAACUAUCAAGGACGCAGUUUCAGCUUAUGGGCCCAAUGCGCCAUUUACCAUGGCGCUUUUAGAGGCAUUGGCAGGUCUGCUUUUAACUCCUGGAGAUUGGACCCAGCUGGCACGCGCCUGCCUCUCCCCCGGACAAUAUUUAGAUUGGAAGUCCUGGAAUGAGGAAUUCUGUGUAGAGCAGGCGGCAGCCAACAGGGAAAAUAACCAGAGAGAGUGGAACAGGGAUAUGCUAUUAGGGCGAGGAGCCUUUGAGGAAGAUCAAACUCAAUACCCUCGCCAGGUUUAUGAACAAAUUAGCCGCUGUGGCCUCCAGGCCUGGAGACGGCUGGCUGGAAAGGGAGAACAUACGGGUCACCUUACAAAAAUUAUACAAGGGCAGGGAGAGCCAUUUUCAGACUUUGUGGCCCGCAUGCUUGAGGCCGCUAACAGGAUUUUUCCAGAUGCUGAGGCGGCUCACCCUCUCAUAAAACAAUUGAUUUUUGAACAGUGCACUAAGGAGUGCCGUGAUGUCCUAAGAACUAACAAAAAUAGGUCCUUAGAAGAGUGGACACGCCUGUGCCGUGAAUUGGGUGGCCACGGCCUAACGCCCAAAGGAAGAAUAUCAUUGGCACUCUUUACCAUAAAUUUUUUAAACCUUAAUCAUCAUAAUCAUUCCCCUGCCAUGGAGCACAAUAACCCGUCCCCGGCCGACAAAGGGCUGGUGAGAUGGAAAGAUGUCCUUACAGGACAAUGGAUGGGCCCGGAUCCAGUGAUUAGCUGGACCCGAGGUGCGGUUUGUGUCUUCCCACAGGAACCAGGCUGCGAACCGCUGUGGGUCCCGAAAAGAUUGACGCGAGCAGUAAACUCCCCACCAGUUCCUGAUAAAGCACAGGAGGAUAAGCCCGCGGACACAAGUCAACUCGACCCUUCUGGGACCGACGCUCAGCGCCCGAGACCAUCUACAAACUAAAAUGUCUGGUUUGGAGCUUUUUCUAUUCUGUGGGUUCCUAUUAAUCACCCCUGUGAUAUGCUCAGAUUCCACAGAACCACCACAAUAUCUUUGGGGUCCUUGGCACCACCCGCCCACAUUGGCACCUUUUUCGGCGGCCUCACCCGCCUCACCCAGGGUUUAUCCUAGUAGGGCUUGUGGUUAUCAAAUGCUUGUUAGAUCGCCUCAUACAAACUCAGCAGCAGGUUAAGAUCACAGCUAUGGCAGCCAUGCAAAUGGCAGCAGGUGGCCCAUCAGGCCAGCAGGCUGCCGCAUAUCUCCUUCACAUUGCAGAACAUCAGCUAUAAGAGCUGAGUGGGCAAGCCAAUGACGGGUAAGACGGGAAAAGCCCUCCCGGUCAACCUAAGACAGGCUCCACUCAGAUAUACAUGGCCUAUAAGGCCAGGGGUCCCUUCUGGAGUCAAAUUAUUGGCAUUGAGAUGUGAGACCAAGGGUACUGCAGUGCCAUCCGCCUCAAAGGUUGGGGGGAAGGCAGGAAUGAAUGUCUAUAUGCAUCCAGGUUCGGUUCACAAAAGCCUGGCCCUGCAAAAAAAUGAACCACUCACCUUGAGCAUGGUCCUGGCGCAAGGAUAUGCACAAAACAAGGUGAUGCACAGCAGGGUAUAGACCUCUACAUUCUCUCAUGCCUCGGCCUACAAGGUAGACCCACUCCUAGGUGUCUAACAGCAACAACGUCAUAGACACCUUGGAGGGACCUACAGACCAUCCUAUUUUAAUAAAUAAAAAAGGGGGAGAUGUGGGAAGCCGCCUAUGAAUGGCGCCCAUUUCCUGCUUCCGGGUUCUUCCCGGCCUGAACAAGCCCGCCAAAUUGUCAUAUCUGCCCAGUUACCCGUGAUGCUAGCCUAUCAGCUUGUUAGGCGCGCUUCUCUGUGAUUGGAUACUGCUUCCCCUUAUAAGAGGUUGUUCCUGCCCCCAACGGGCGGAAGAGGAACCAACGUUGAGGGUGGCGGACCUUGUUAGGUCCGGUUCGCUGUACGCAAUAAAGUUUGAGAGCUGA